UUGGGUAUGUUUGCUGCAAAUCUAUUGGUUAUAAGAUAUAACAGCCUUUUCUAAUUGGCUGAAUUCAAAUACAGAAAGUUUACCUGUUAGAUUGAAACAUGAAACAUGGUGGACAAUGUACUGGUUUAACUUGUUAAAAUAAAGUUAAAGACAUUUAACAAACAGAAGAGUUCAUUAGUUUUUCCAUUAAAAACACUUUCUUAAAAUACUUAUGUAUUUAUAUCAUUUGGAAAGUGACAUGAAAUAUUGCUAAAGAGUGAUGCAUACAGUGUUUGAGCAGUCUGUCUAGGAAUAGAACAACAACUGAAGUUGAUGGAAGAUACUGCAGAGUUUGGCAGGGAAAUAAUCCAACAGCAAAGCGGCUCUUUAAGCGCAUUUACCUAGAGGACUUACAGGGCCACAAAUUCAUGAGCACAUGUGAGCAGUAUACAAUGUACCUCAUACCAAAAAGGACCCGGAGGCAGUGACUGGUGUUCAAUAUUCUCAGAAGAAAAGGAAAAUGGCAGUGGAAGACUUGGACAAACAUUUUUAAAAACUAGCCUCUGUGUUAAGCCUGGCAGUCUGUGGCUGGUGACAUGUUUUAUUUUGGUUACUUCUUGUAUAAAAAAGACCAGUUAUUUAUUUUGUGAAUUGUA